rnacentral:lncRNA from 9 species
UGUCAAACGCGCUGAACACGGCUCUGCCCAUCCUCCCCCAGCGUGGACUUAGCAAAUGCUGGGACGUUUCUGAGAGCUUUUGAUUUUAAUGACUUCAGGAACUAGGAAGAGAGCAGGAUUUGUCUCUGAAAGGAAUGAAUUACAACUGUCUGUACGGACAGUUUUCCUAAAUCAGGCAUGGAGCUACUGUCUAUCUCUUUACCCGGAGAUCCUCUUAGUGUCUGAGCCCAAGGGCGGAGUAUUGACCGUGAACUUCCUAAGGUCCCGCGAGGACUAGAACUCCAGAGUCAAGGCUUUGCGUGAACGAGGGGCUCAAACCUGGUGGCGCCUCCACCCCUCCUAGAGAUGUUGUCAAGCGGCCUGUGAGAAGAUGAGGAGGGAUGGAGAAGAUGCUUGUCUGUAGACCGUGUUUUGAGCUCUAUGGCAGCUCCUCUGCAAACCUUAGGAAUGAUGAGACGGGGCAGCAGCAUGAAGGCAGAGGCUUUACCCCAUCAGGGCGCUUUUUAGGUGUUGUGAAAACCCGUAAGAGAACUGCUAAACACAGGAUAGUUAAGCCAUGUUUCUGCUGUUGGUCCUGGGAGCACUGCCACCUCUGCUUGCACCUAGGUGGGCACCUGCCAGCCGAUGGGCCCUUACUUGGCUGUUAACUCGAGAGCAUUCCUGUUAUACACAGGGAUUCUGAACAGGAAGAAGGGCAUUUCUCAGAAGGAACAGUUGAUGUCCAGCUCAUUUUUUAUAUUUAUCAAGGCAGCAUGGGCAGCAGCUGAACUACCCAGAAUUUAUAUGCUGAUAAUCAUUAUGCAAGCAUUACACAUAAAUCACAAGUUCAAAGUAAGGGUUUAUUACCCUCUAUGGUUGUUGCCGUGUUGGGUACCAGAAGUACCCAGUUACUCUUCAUCCUCUCAAGGAAGUUUGAUAAGGGCAACGCUUGAGACAAAGAGGAGAUUGUGA